rnacentral:rRNA from 1 species
AAAUUGAAGAGUUUGAUCAUGGCUCAGAUUGAACGCUGGCGGCAGGCCUAACACAUGCAAGUCGAACGGUAGCACAGAGGAGCUUGCUCCUUGGGUGACGAGUGGCGGACGGGUGAGUAAUGUCUGGGAAACUGCCCGAUGGAGGGGGAUAACUACUGGAAACGGUAGCUAAUACCGCAUAACGUCGCAAGACCAAAGAGGGGGACCUUCGGGCCUCUUGCCAUCGGAUGUGCCCAGAUGGGAUUAGCUAGUAGGUGGGGU